UAGAGAGAGACAUGCGCGCAUAUCAAUAAGCGGAGGAAAAGAAACUAACAAGGAUUCCCUAGUAACGGCGAGUGAAGCGGGAAGAGCUCAAAUUUGAAAUCUUCAAGGUUUUACCUUGACGAAUUGUAGUUUAAAGAAGUGUUUUCUGCUGAAGUUUUGGUAAAAGUUCUUUGGAAUAGGACAUCAUAGAGGGUGAGAAUCCCGUAUUUGACCAUUAUUUUCCAGCUGUGUGAUACACUUUCAAAGAGUCGGAUUGUUUGGGAAUGCAGUCCAAAAUGGGUGGUAAAUUUCAUCUAAAGCUAAAUAUUGGCGAGAGACCGAUAGCGAACAAGUACCGUGAGGGAAAGAUGAAAAGAACUUUGAAAAGAGAGUUAAACAGUACGUGAAAUUGUCAAAAGGGAAGCGUUUGACACCAGUGUUGUUUUCUCGAAAAUCAAUUAAAAAUGGCUCGAUUUUGUAUUGUUGAGACCUUAAAAGCUCACUGUACAUUUUUCGUGUCUUUUUUAAUGCACUUUUCGUUUAACAAGUCAACAUCAGUUUCUUUUGUUGUAAAAGGGUCAUUGGAAGGUGGCUUUCUUUCGGAGAAAGUGUUUAUAGCCUUUGGCCUCUGCAAUCGGAGAGACUGAGGUCUGCAGCGUAGACUCUUCGGGGUUAGAUACAUUUGUGCUAAGUUAUAGCCUUUUCAUAGACAACUUGUUGACUAUGAUCAGUCAUGUAGCUUACUCGCUUAUGCUAUUUUACCUACGCUUAGGAUGUUGAGUCGUAGAGCACGCAG
rnacentral:rRNA from 1 species